UAAGUGGAACUCCAUGUGUAGCGGUGGAAUGCGUAGAUAUAUGGAAGAACACCAGUGGCGAAGGCGGCUUACUGGACUGUAACUGACGUUGAGGCUCGAAAGUGUGGGUAGCAAACAGGAUUAGAUACCNUGGUAGUCCACACCGUAAACGAUGAACACUAGGUGUUAGGAGGUUUCCGCCUCUUAGUGCCGAAGCUAACGCAUUAAGUGUUCCGCCUGGGGAGUACGACCGCAAGGUUGAAACUCAAAGGAAUUGACGGGGACCCGCACAAGCGGUGGAGCAUGUGGUUUAAUUCGAAGCAACGCGAAGAACCUUACCAGGUCUUGACAUCCUUUGAAGCUUUUAGAGAUAGAAGUGUUCUCUUCGGAGACAAAGUGACAGGUGGUGCAUGGUCGUCGUCAGCUCGUGUCGUGAGAUGUUGGGUUAAGUCCCGCAACGAGCGCAACCCUUAUUGUUAGUUGCCAGCAUUCAGAUGGGCACUCUAGCGAGACUGCCGGUGACAAACCGGAGGAAGGCGGGGACGACGUCAGAUCAUCAUGCCCCUUAUGACCUGGGCUACACACGUGCUACAAUGGCGUAUACAACGAGUUGCCAACCCGCGAGGGUGAGCUAAUCUCUUAAAGUACGUCUCAGUUCGGAUUGUAGUCUGCAACUCGACUACAUGAAGUCGGAAUCGCUAGUAAUCGCGGAUCAGCACGCCGCGGUGAAUACGUUCCCGGGUCUUGUACACACCGCCCGUCACACCAUGGGAGUUUGUAAUGCCCAAAGCCGGUGGCCUAACCUUUUAGGAAGGAGCCGUCUAAGGCAGGACAGAUGACUGGGGUGAAGUCGUAACAAGGUAGCCGUAGGAGAACCUGCGGCUGGAUC
rnacentral:rRNA from 1 species